AUGAACGCUGGCGGCGUGCCUAAUACAUGCAAGUCGCGCGAACGGACGAGAAGCUUGCUUCUCUGAUGUUAGCGGCGGACGGGUGAGUAACACGUGGAUGACCUACCUAUAAGACUGGGAUAACUUCGGGAAACCGUAGCUAAUACCGGAUAAUAUUUUGAACCGCAUGGUUCAAAAGUGAAAGACGGUCUUGCUGUCACUUAUAGAUGGAUCCGCGCUGCAUUAGCUAGUUGGUAAGGUAACGGCUUACCAAGGCAACGAUGCAUAGCCGACCUGAGAGGGUGAUCGGCCACACUGGAACUGAGACACGGUCCAGACUCCUACGGGAGGCAGCAGUAGGGAAUCUUCCGCAAUGGGCGAAAGCCUGACGGAGCAACGCCGCGUGAGUGAUGAAGGUCUUCGGAUCGUAAAACUCUGUUAUUAGGGAAGAACAUAUGUGUAAGUAACUGUGCACAUCUUGACGGUACCUAAUCAGAAAGCCACGGCUAACUACGUG
rnacentral:rRNA from 1 species